GACGAACGCUGGCGGCGUGCUUAACACAUGCAAGUCGAACGGAAAGGCCCUGCUUUUGUGGGGUGCUCGAGUGGCGAACGGGUGAGUAACACGUGAGUAACCUGCCCUUGACUUUGGGAUAACUUCAGGAAACUGGGGCUAAUACCGGAUAGGAGCUCCUGCUGCAUGGUGGGGGUUGGAAAGUUUCGGCGGUUGGGGAUGGACUCGCGGCUUAUCAGCUUGUUGGUGGGGUAGUGGCCUACCAAGGCUUUGACGGGUAGCCGGCCUGAGAGGGUGACCGGCCACAUUGGGACUGAGAUACGGCCCAGACUCCUACGGGAGGCAGCAGUGGGGAAUAUUGCACAAUGGGCGGAAGCCUGAUGCGGCAACGCCGGGAGCGGGAUGACGGCCUUCGGGUUGUAAACCGCUUUAGCCUGUGACGAAGCGUGAGUGACGGUAAUGGGUAAAGAAGCACCGGCUAACUACGUG
rnacentral:rRNA from 1 species